GACGAACGCUGGCGGCGUGCUUAACACAUGCAAGUCGAACGGAAAGGCCCUGCUUUUGUGGGGUGCUCGAGUGGCGAACGGGUGAGUAACACGUGAGUAACCUGCCCUUGACUUUGGGAUAACUUCAGGAAACUGGGGCUAAUAUCGGAUAGGAGCUCCUGCUGCAUGGUGGGGGUUGGAAAGUUUCGGCGGUUGGGGAUGGACUCGCGGCUUAUCAGCUUGUUGGUGGGGUAGUGGCUUACCAAGGCUUUGAAGGGUAGCCGGCCUGAGAGGGUGACCGGCCACAUGGGUACUGAGAGACGGCCCAGACGGCUACGGGAGGCAGCAGGGGGGAAUAUUGCACAAUGGGCGGAAGCCUGAUGCAGCGACGCCGCGUGCGGAAUGACGUCCUUCUGGUUGUAAACCGCUUUCGCCUUUGACGAAGCGUGAGUGACGGUAAUUGGUAAAGAAGCACCGGCUAACUACGUG
rnacentral:rRNA from 1 species